rnacentral:tRNA from 1 species
GGAGAUGUAGCUCAAUGGUAGAGCACUUGCCUAGCCUGUAUGAAAUCAUGGGUUCAAUCUUCAGUACCUCCC